rnacentral:rRNA from 1 species
GACGAACGCUGGAGGCGUGCUUAACACAUGCAAGUCGAACGAUGAAAUGGAGCUUGCUCCAUGGAUUAGUGGCGAACGGGUGAGUAACACGUGAAUAACCUGCCCUUGAUUUUGGAAUAACCCAGGGAAACCUGAGCUAAUACCGGAUAAGUAAACCUGUGGCAUCACAUGGUUUUGGAAAGUUUUUCGAUUAAGGAUGGAUUCGCGGCCUAUCAGCUUGUUGGUGAGGUAAUGGCUCACCAAGGCGACGACGGGUAGCCGGCCUGAGAGGGGGAACGGCCACACUGGGACUGAGACACGGCCCAGACUCCUACGGGAGGCAGCAGUGGGGAAUAUUGCGCAAUGGACGAAAGUCUGACGCAGCGACGCCUCGUGAGGGACGAAGGUCUUCGGAUUGUAAACCUCUUUCAGCAGGGACGAAGCGAAAGUGACGGUACCUGCAGAAGAAGCACCGGCUAACUAUGUGCCAGCAGCCGCCGCGG